rnacentral:rRNA from 1 species
GAACGGGUGAGUAACACGUGGGCAAUCUGCCCUGCACUCUGGGACAAGCCUUGGAAACGAGGUCUAAUACCGGAUAUUACCCUUGGCCGCAUGGCCUUGGGUGGAAAGCUCCGGCGGUGCAGGAUGAGCCCGCGGCCUAUCAGCUUGUUGGUGGGGUGAUGGCCUACCAAGGCGACGACGGGUAGCCGGCCUGAGAGGGCGACCGGCCACACUGGGACUGAGACACGGCCCAGACUCCUACGGGAGGCAGCAGUGGGGAAUAUUGCACAAUGGGCGAAAGCCUGAUGCAGCGACGCCGCGUGAGGGAUGAAGGCCUUCGGGUUGUAAACCUCUUUCAGCAGGGAAGAAGCGCAAGUGACGGUACCUGCAGAAGAAGCACCGGCUAACUACGUGCCAGCAGCCGCGGUAAUACGUAGGGUGCGAGCGUUGUCCGGAAUUAUUGGGCGUAAAGAGCUCGUAGGCGGCUUGUCACGUCGGAUGUGAAAGCCCGGGGCUUAACCCCGGGUCUGCAUUCGAUACGGGCAGGCUAGAGUGUGGUAGGGGAGAUCGGAAUUCCUGGUGUAGCGGUGAAAUGCGCAGAUAUCAGGAGGAACACCGGUGGCGAAGGCGGAUCUCUGGGCCAUUACUGACGCUGAGGAGCG